AUUGAACGCUGGCGGAAUGCUUUACACAUGCAAGUCGAACGGCAGCACGGACUUCGGUCUGGUGGCGAGUGGCGAACGGGUGAGUAACAUAUCGGAACGUAUCCAAUAAUGGGGGAUAACGAGUCGAAAGAUUCGCUAAUACCGCAUACGCCCUACGGGGGAAAGCUGGGGACCUUCGGGCCUGGCGUUAAUGGAGCGGCCGAAAUCUGAUUAGCUAGUUGGUGAGGUAAAGGCUCACCAAGGCGACGAUCAGUAGCUGGUCUGAGAGGACGAGCAGCCACACUGGAACUGAGACACGGUCCAGACUCCUACGGGAGGCAGCAGUGGGGAAUUUUGGACAAUGGGCGCAAGCCUGAUCCAGACAUUCCGCGUGAGUGAAGAAGGCCUUCGGGUUGUAAAGCUCUUUCGCAAGGGAAGAAAACUUAGCCACUAACAUUGGUUGAGGUUGACGGUACCUUGAUAAGAAGCACCGGCUAACUACGUGCCAGCCGCCGCGUAA
rnacentral:rRNA from 1 species